rnacentral:lncRNA from 1 species
GGCUGCUUCUACUUCUUCUUCGUCUUCGUCGUCCUUCGUUCGAGCUUUGGUCGAGGCUUGGACAGAUUUGUUUACAAUCAAAGUUCGUCGUUGAUUCAUCUCCGGUUAGUUGUUUUUGAGUUUUAUUUUUGUCCAUAUUUUUAUUUGAUAUUUUCCGGAUCCAAAAUCGUUAAAGAAUUUAAUUCUUGCUUUGUUCAUGUCUAUCGUUUGAAAUAAUUUUCUAGUUUGUUCAUGUGUUUUGUUGAUUUUAAUUUUCAGAUGCAAAUGGUAAAUUAAUUAAUUUGUUUUCAUGUUUAUUUCAUGUUUGUUUUAUUGUUUAGGUAAGAAUUUGUUAUUUUGAUGUUUGUUAGAUUCAAAUUGAAUUUAAUUGAUUAUUUCUUCAAUUUGUUUCAUGUUGUUAUAUAUUUUCCAUAAAUUAUUAAUGUUGGUUUAAUCAUUUAAUCCGUUAUGUUUGUUGUGUUAAAAUAGAUUCAUUCAUGUUCAUACUUUGUUUGGAUGAUCUUGAAUCCGAAUUUUGUAUAGUUUGAUUUCUUGUUUAUCAUUUAUGAUUAUUUCUUGAAUUUGUCUCAUAAUCUUGUUUAAGUUUAAUAUAGGAAUUGUUUGUUGUAAUGUUGUUAGAGUAGUUGAUUUUAAGUUCAAUAUUAUUGAAUUUAGAAAUCUAAAUAUACUUGUUUGUUGUUGUUGUUGAAUCCGAAAAUAGGAUUGUUUGUUGCUAGAAUAUUGUUCAAUUAAAUUUUAGUUGUUCUUUGUUGUUCAAUUUGUGUUCAUGUGAUUUAUUGUUGAAAUGUUGAAGAAAUCAUGUUCAUGUGAUUUGUUGUUGAAAUGCUGAAGAAAUCAUGUUCAUGAAAUUUGUUGUUUGAACAUUGUUAGAAAUUAAUCAUAUUGUCUAUAUUUUGGUUAAGUUUGAUUAAUUGAUGUGUUAUAGCUGAUGGUUAGUUUGUUAAUUUAUAGUACUUUUGGGGGUAAAAUAGUAAUUUGCAAUAGGGUUGGAGGGGUAGUUUAGGAAUUGUACAUUUUGUAAUUGUUUAUAUGAAGCAUGGGGGACAAAAUGAAAUGGGGUGGGUUGUGAUAUAGUUGUUUAAUAUAAAGGGGGGACAAGACAAAAUUUAGUGGGGGGAAUCUUGUAUUAUUUUAUGUUAGGCAUGAGAGAUAAAAUAUAAUGGGGGGUGUGAUAUAUUUAUUUAAUGUAAUGGGGAUGAGUGAGAAGAUAAUGGGUUGGGUAGAGAGAAAGUAUUGAUUUUAAUUAAUUGAAAGAUUUAUGGGAUGGGUUAUAAGAAGUCUUGAAAUCAGAAUGAACAGAGGAGAUACAGAUACAAGAGAGACAGAUAUAGAGAAAAAAAACACAGAUAAGAGAAACGAAUCUGAGAAGAAAAAUAGAAGAGAGAAAAAAGGGCUGAACAUUUAAGAGAAAGAAAAUUCCGAAAAAUAUUUAAGCUUUCAAAAUUAAAAUAAAAACUAAAAAAUCUUUUGCUUUCUUUCUUUGUUUGAAAUUAGUAUUAAUGGUUGUUGUUUCAUUCAAAGCUUGAAGCUUUUGUUUUUGGGAUUACUGUUCUACUGGUUUGCAAACUCUGUUCCUGGGUUGUUACUGCUGCUGGAUUGUUGUUGCUGUAUUGUUAUUACUACCACUGAUUCUCAUCAUCAUUUUUUUUUGCUUCCAAUAUCAGGUACAUAUCUGUAAAUUCAUGUCAUGAAAAGCUUCAACAUGACAAGUAAAUGAAGUUUGGAAUUAUAAGGAUGUCUUCUACUCAUUUAAAUUUUAUUAGUUUAAGUUUCAGUUUUGUUUUAAUUGGUUAAUAUAGUAUUAUACUUGACAUGAUAAACUGUUAACUAAUUAACCUUCUGGAGUAAUAAAUUCCACGAUAAUCAUAUAUGUUUUGAGGACUAGUGAUGACAUUUACUGUUUGAAUUGUUGAGAUAGGGAACAUGGCAGAAAGUUGACCAUUAAUUAAAUCUUGUGAUAUUGUUAGUUAAGUAAAGAAUAGUACGGAAAUACCCAGAAAUUACAUUACUAGCUUAUUUUGUCAAAUAUCCAAUUUUGUUUAAGACUAGAUGAUGUCAGUCGUACUUUGUUCGUAUAUGGCGUAAUAACGGUUAUGUGUAUAACCCAUAGUUGAAAGGUGAAUUAAUAUAAUCCAUUACUAUUACAAUGCUGGAAUAUUGCGAACAUGUCAUGAUGUAUGUUUACGUUAUAUGUGAUGUCGUCUUAUUAAAUCAAUUGGUAGAUUAGUUCUCUUUCUUAAUAACAAAUGGCUUAGUUAUUUUAGGAACGCGAUCAACUCAUUUCUUUUAAUGUAUGAAAUAAUGUCAAUGAUUUUUUUUUACAAAAUAUAGAGUUAGUGUUUGCAAAUAUUCGCAUAGGCAGAGAAUAAGAAUU